rnacentral:tRNA from 1 species
AGCUUAGUAGCUCAGGGGAAGUGCCGGGCUCGUAACCCGGAGGUCACCAGAUCGAAACCAGUCUAAGCUA